CCUACGGGGGACAGCAGUGGGGGAUAUUGCACAAUGGGGGGAACCCUGAUGCAGCGACGCCGCGUGGGUGAAGGAGCGUUUCGGCGCGUAAAGCCCUAUCGGCAGGGAAGAAGGAGGACGGUACCUGACUCAGACGCCCCGGCUAACUACGUGCCAGCAGCCGCGGUAAUUCGUAGGGGGCAAGCGUUAUCCGGAUUUACUGGGUGUAAAGGAGGCGCAGACGGCAGCGCAAGCCAGGAGUUAAAGCCCGGGGCCCAACCCCGGGACUGCUCUUGGAACUGCGCGGCUGGAGUGGAGGAGGGGCAGGCGGGAUUGCUGGUGUAGCGGGGGAAUGGGG
rnacentral:rRNA from 1 species